rnacentral:snRNA from 1 species
GAGUGUGGUCUGGCUGUGACAUCAGCAUCCCACUGAUUGCUAGGGUUGACCCAACUGCUUUGGCUGACUGGGCUGGGGUCCACAUACUUCAUUUAUGACCCCAAAAGCUGUGCAUUGGCAGAGGAUGAUGACAUCCCCAGGGAGACCAGAACCACUUAAUUUUUAUCAAAAUGGAAACGACUUUUUGCUUUUAGCAUGUCUUGAUUCAUCCUGUGACUAAAGGUCUGAUAGACUGCUUUAAAAUGAAAGGUAAAAUUGUUUAACUCAAAGUGGGUUGAAAUCCUGUUU